rnacentral:rRNA from 1 species
GGGUGACGAGUGGCGGACGGGUGAGUAAUGUCUGGGAAACUGCCUGAUGGAGGGGGAUAACUACUGGAAACGGUAGCUAAUACCGCAUAACGUCGCAAGACCAAAGAGGGGGACCUUCGGGCCUCUUGCCAUCAGAUGUGCCCAGAUGGGAUUAGCURGUAGGUGGGGUAACGGCUCACCUAGGCGACGAUCCCUAGCUGGUCUGAGAGGAUGACCAGCCACACUGGAACUGAGACACGGUCCAGACUCCUACGGGAGGCAGCAGUGGGGAAUAUUGCACAAUGGGCGCAAGCCUGAUGCAGCCAUGCCGCGUGUAUGAAGAAGGCCUUCGGGUUGUAAAGUACUUUCAGCGGGGAGGAAGGCGAUAAGGUUAAUAACCUUGUCGAUUGACGUUACCCGCAGAAGAAGCACCGGCUAACUCCGUGCCAGCAGCCGCGGUAAUACGGAGGGUGCAAGCGUUAAUCGGAAUUACUGGGCGUAAAGCGCACGCAGGCGGUCUGUCAAGUCGGAUGUGAAAUCCCCGGGCUCAACCUGGGAACUGCAUUCGAAACUGGCAGGCUGGAGUCUUGUAGAGGGGGGUAGAAUUCCAGGUGUAGCGGUGAAAUGCGUAGAGAUCUGGAGGAAUACCGGUGGCGAAGGCGGCCCCCUGGACAAGACUGA